rnacentral:rRNA from 1 species
UACGAAGGGGGCUAGCGUUGCUCGGAAUCACUGGGCGUAAAGGGUGCGUAGGCGGGUCUUUAAGUCAGGGGGGAAAUCCUGGAGCUCAACUCCAGAACUGCCUUUGAUACUGAGGAUCUUGAGUUCGGGAGAGGUGAGUGGAACUGCGAGUGUAGAGGUGAAAUUCGUAGAUACUCGCAAGAACACCAGUGGCGAAGGCGGCUCACUGGCCCGAUACUGACGCUGAGGCACGAAAGCGUGGGGAGCAAACAGG